rnacentral:rRNA from 1 species
UACGGAGGGUGCAAGCGUUAUCCGGAUUCACUGGGUUUAAAGGGUGCGUAGGCGGGCUGUUAAGUCAGUGGUGAAAUCUCCGAGCUUAACUCGGAAACUGCCAUUGAUACUAUCAGUCUUGAAUGUUCUGGAGGUGAGCGGAAUAUGUCAUGUAGCGGUGAAAUGCUUAGAUAUUGGGAAGAACACCGGUGGCGAAGGCGGCUACCUGGACCGGUACUGACGCUGAGGCGCGAAAGCCAGGGGAGCGAAUGGG